rnacentral:rRNA from 1 species
GCUUGUCUCAAAGAUUAAGCCAUGCAUGUCUAAGUAUAAGCACCCUUAUACUGCGAAACUGCGUACAGCUCAUUAUAUCAGCAAUUAUUUAUUUGAAGGUCACCUAUUACAUGGAUAACCGUGGUAAUUCUAGAGCUAAUACAUGCUGGCGUGCCCGACUUUUGUGGAAGGGCGGUAUUUAUUAGAUAACAAGCCAAUAUUCCUCACGGUCUAUUGUGGUGACUCAUAAUAACUGAUCGAAUCGCAAGGCCCUUGGCCGCGAUAAGUCAUUCAAGUUUCUGCCCCAUCAGCUUUCGAUGGUAGUGUAUUGGACUACCAUGGCGUUCACGGGUAACGGAGAAUUAGGGUUCGAUUCCGGAGAGGGAGCCUGAGAAACGGCUACCACAUCUAAGGAAGGCAGCAGG